GCCUGGGUGGCUCAGUCGGUUGAGCGUCUGACUUCGGCUCAGGUCACCAUCUCGCGGUCCGUGGGUUCGAGCCCCGUGUCGGGCU
rnacentral:tRNA from 1 species